rnacentral:rRNA from 1 species
GUGUCAGCAGCCGCGGUAAUACAGAGGGUGCGAGCGUUAAUCGGAAUUACUGGGCGUAAAGCGCGCGUAGGUGGUUUGUUAAGUCUGAUGUGAAAUCCCAGGGCUCAACCUUGGAAUGGCACCGGAUACUGGCAGGCUAGAGUACGGUAGAGGGGUGUGGAAUUUCCUGUGUAGCGGUGAAAUGCGUAGAUAUAGGAAGGAACAUCGGUGGCGAAGGCGACACCCUGGACUGAUACUGACACUGAGGUGCGAAAGCGUGGGGAGCAAACAGGAUUAGAUACCCCAGUAGUCC